GGGUUGCUAUGGGUUGAAUUUGAGGUUUCAAAAUUCAACAAUACUCAUAUAUGCUAUGCUAAAGUAUAGUAAGAUUUUAAUUAAGAUGAAAUCUUAAUCUUAUUACUCUAUCCAAUUAAUUACCAUAUAAAUUUUUCAUAACUCUGACUGAAUCUUAAUAUCUCACAAUCUGAAUUAUUCACAGGUAGGAGUGGCAGUUCAUUUCUAGAUCGAGGAAAUACCAUAUAAGUUUAGGAGCUAAGAGAAUUAAGGAUAGCUACCUUACAAUGAAUCUUGAAGGGGCUUCGGCCUUCGGCCAAAUACUAAUGAAACAUUUGCAAUCCAUUCAAGCACAUCACACUAUCUCAAAGAACCUAAAUUUUGUUAGCACUUAUGAUGGCAGAAAAAUCCAGAUAAAUCGCUCUCCACCUGCA
rnacentral:lncRNA from 1 species